rnacentral:rRNA from 1 species
UGGGGAAUAUUGGACAAUGGGCGAAAGCCUGAUCCAGCCAUGCCGCGUGUGUGAAGAAGGUCUUCGGAUUGUAAAGCACUUUAAGUUGGGAGGAAGGGCAGUAAGCGAAUACCUUGCUGUUUUGACGUUACCGACAGAAUAAGCACCGGCUAACUCUGUGCCAGCAGCCGCGGUAAUACAGAGGGUGCAAGCGUUAAUCGGAAUUACUGGGCGUAAAGCGCGCGUAGGUGGUUCGUUAAGUUGAAUGUGAAAGCCCCGGGCUCAACCUGGGAACGGCAUCCAAAACUGGCGGGCUAGAGUAGGGCAGAGGGUGGUGGAAUGUCCUGUGUAGCGGUGAAAUGCGUAGGUAUAGGGAGGAACACCAGUGGCGAAGGCGACCACCUGGGCUCAUACUGACACUGAGGUGCGAAAGCGUGGGGAGCAAACAGG